CCUACGGGGGGCUGCAGUGGGGAAUAUUGGACAAUGGGCGAAAGCCUGAUCCAGCCAUGCCGCGUGUGUGAAGAAGGCCUUCGGGUUGUAAAGCACUUUCAGUGGGGAAGAAAGCCUUGGGGCUAAUACCCUCGAGGAAGGACAUCACCCACAGAAGAAGCACCGGCUAACUCCGUGCCAGCAGCCGCGGUAAUACGGAGGGUGCGAGCGUUAAUCGGAAUUACUGGGCGUAAAGCGCGCGUAGGCGGUCUGAUAAGCCGGUUGUGAAAGCCCCGGGCUCAACCUGGGAACGGCAUCCGGAACUGUCAGGCUAGAGUGCAGGAGAGGAAGGUAGAAUUCCCGGUGUAGCGGUGAAAUGCGUAGAGAUCGGGAGGAAUACCAGUGGCGAAGGCGGCCUUCUGGACUGACACUGACGCUGAGGUGCGAAAGCGUGGGUAGCAAACAGGAUUAGAUACCCGGGUAUC
rnacentral:rRNA from 1 species